GAUCAUGGCUCAGGAUGAACGCUAGCGACAGGCUUAACACAUGCAAGUCGAGGGGCAGCGGGGGGUAGCGAUACCCGCCGGCGACCGGCGCACGGGUGAGUAACGCGUAUGCAACUUGCCUAUCAGAGGGGGAUAACCCGGCGAAAGUCGGACUAAUACCGCAUGAAGCAGGGAUCCCGCAUGGGAAUAUUUGCUAAAGAUUUAUCGCUGAUAGAUAGGCAUGCGUUCCAUUAGG
rnacentral:rRNA from 1 species